AAUAGAUACCCCAGGUAGUCCACGCCGUAAACGAUGAGUGCUAAGUGUUAGAGGGUUUCCGCCCUUUAGUGCUGCAGCUAACGCAUUAAGCACUCCGCCUGGGGAGUACGGCCGCAAGGCUGAAACUCAAAGGAAUUGACGGGGGCCCGCACAAGCGGUGGAGCAUGUGGUUUAAUUCGAAGCAACGCGAAGAACCUUACCAGGUCUUGACAUCCUCUGCCAACCCUAGAGAUAGGGCGUUCCCCUUCGGGGGACAGAGUGACAGGUGGUGCAUGGUUGUCGUCAGCUCGUGUCGUGAGAUGUUGGGUUAAGUCCCGCAACGAGCGCAACCCUUGAUCUUAGUUGCCAGCAUUCAGUUGGGCACUCUAAGGUGACUGCCGGUGACAAACCGGAGGAAGGUGGGGAUGACGUCAAAUCAUCAUGCCCCUUAUGACCUGGGCUACACACGUGCUACAAUGGAUGGUACAAAGAGCUGCGAACCCGCGAGGGUAAGCGAAUCUCAUAAAGCCAUUCUCAGUUCGGAUUGU
rnacentral:rRNA from 1 species